UGAAGCCGGAAUUGCUAGUAACGGCAGGUCAGCAUACUGCCGUGAAUACGUUCCCGGGCCUUGUACCCCCANACCGCCCGUCACACCAUGAGAGUUGGGAAUACCCGAAGCCUGUGAGCUAACUUUUAGAGGCAGCAGUCGAAGGUAGAAUCAAUGAUUGGGGUGAAGUCGUAACAAGGUACC
rnacentral:rRNA from 1 species